GGACUGUUCCGAAGGCGGGGUCGCUGCUCUGAGCGGCGAGGACUGCAAUACGAAACAUACUGGGAAGAAAGCCUCAUUAUUUAUUUAUUUUUUACACCACCGUUUAUCCGAGGAUCACAGGGCGGUUUACAAUAUAAAAACACAGAAAUGCAUAACAUUGGAACAAACAAAAACAACAACACCCUCACCCCCGUUUAAAAGUCCUGGGAGAAGAGGAAUGAUCUCAAUGAUUUAUUUACUAGUAAAUAUGUAGAUGUUAAGAUUUCAAAUGCUGUUAUUCCUUGGGUUCCAAGAAUCGUCCUUCAGUAAAACUUAAUCCUGGUUUUGUUCAUUUCUAAUACAUUUCAACUUUCCA